rnacentral:rRNA from 1 species
GAGGUCAAGCAAAUCCCAUAAAGUUGUUCUCAGUUCGGAUUGUAGUCUGCAACUCGACUACAUGAAGCUGGAAUCGCUAGUAAUCGUAGAUCAGCAUGCUACGGUGAAUACGUUCCCGGGUCUUGUACACACCGCCCGUCACACCACGAGAGUUUGUAACACCCGAAGCCGGUGGAGUAACCAUUUUGGAGCUAGCCGUCGAAGGUGGGACAAAUGAUUGGGGUGAAGUCGUAACAAGGUAGCCGUAUCGGAAGGUGCGGCUGGAUCACCUCCUUUCUAAGGA